AACACGUACCUAAACAUUAACAAUCUUGGUUAGGAAAAUGAACACAGUUUUUAAAUUAAUACUUUAUUAUUGCACGAUCGUUUCUUAAUUGAAAAUUGAGCUUUCAAAGGAGUGGGUUGAUCCAAAUGGGUUGAAAUGUGAAGUUUUCUUUGAGAGUGAUAUCGUAUACAGUCUCUCACAAACGGAUAAGCACGCAUUUGGGGUCACAAGGUGUUUUGGUACAGACCCACAAGAAAUCUAGGCAGCGGCUGCGGCAGCAGGAGGAGAGGCAGCAGCAGAAAAGCAUGAAAAAGUGCAAGGAAAAUGACGGCGACGGUAAGGUUUCAGACACUACUAUUAUUCCUGGAUUACCCAAUGAAAUUGCAUUGGAUUGUUUGGCUAGAAUUCCCGGAUUGAUGCAUCGGAAAUUCACAAGAGUUUCUAGGUCAUGGAAAACCCUACUAACAUCCAACACUCUUAAUUGGAAUGCAUCACCUGGACUACCCACAAACUAUGUUUAUGUAAAUUUGUUGUUCUCAAUUGGGGACCAGAGAUUCUUUGCAUGGAACCUAGAGGAUAGGGCUUGUUUGCCUUUGCCCGCGUUUCCGACAAAUCUCACUUGUGCCAAGUUUGUUGUAAGCAGAGGGAGGCUUUUCUCCAUUGGGGGUUUGAUUAACUCUGCCAACUCAGCUGAUGUGUGGGCAUAUGACCCCUGUGUCAAUAAGUGGGAGUCUGUCGCAUCCCUAAAACUUGCAAGGUAUGAGCCUGCAGUUGUUAGUAUUGGGGGAAAGAUUUAUGUAAUGGGUGGUGGGGUGGGGGGGGAUUUGUCAGAUUGGGCAGAGGUCUAUGAUCCCGAAGUGGGUGCGUGGACUUCUCUGUCGAUUCCUUGUUGGCACUUUUUUGGAGAUGUGUUCUGUAGGGACAGUGCAGUGGUGAAUGGGAAACUGUAUGGUAUGUGUUAUGGGGGGUUGGGGUUUAUCUUUGAUCCCAUUUCAUCAUCUAUUACCAUAGUCAGUAGUGAGGCUUACGAGUCGAGCCCUUGUGAAAACAUCCAUACACUGUUUUCAACAUGGAAUAAGCUAAACCAGAAAACAGCAGUAGUUAAAGGGAUUCUUUUCGCUUACUUUGAUGGCAAGAUCAGGGGCUAUGAUUUCGAUCACAAUAGAUGGCUUCCCUUGCAAGGCACUGGAAAACGUCUGCGAAAUGGGAUGUCCAAGGCUUCAUUGGUUAAUGUAGAGGACAAGCUUUGUGUGAUUCGUAAAAAUGCAAAUACAAUUAUAUUUGCUUGCUUGGAUAUUCUUAAGAUCCCUGGCAUUCUGCGCUGCAAUGUGCUGUGGUGUCACUCAGAGGCUUCUUCUGGCAGACCGUGGAGUAUUGAUGCGUGUGUUUCUCUUGCUGAGUCAGGCUCUUGAGUAUAGUGGAUGGGGUUGAGGAUGCUUGGUGAUUCAAGCAGAUGUCUCGUUAAAUCUCCCAUUAUCACAUAAGUGUACUAUCUCUACCUCUUACACGUGGACAUUUUCAUAUCUUGACCUGGUGUAUUUCUGGAAGAGCUCAUUUUCCUUUGGCUGAGUCAUAUUUCUUCAUGUUUAAAUGGUGAUCUAUGAAUUUUGUAUUGCAUAUGAUCCGCAGAAAGAUUUGUGGUUACCUUGCAGGAGUUACGUAUGCUGACUGUAAUUACAUCAAAUACUGAUUUGAUCUUUUUCUAAUGAAAUAUAUGGAAACAAGCUUAGCUAAAGGUUAUUGAACUGACAUAACUUCUUUUAAAUAAGGAAAUCAUUAAUCUUAGCAUGCAAGACUGUUUCAGCAUUUUGCUCGCUCACACUCACAUACCGUGAGACUCAAUUUGGAAAUGGCACCUGUAGUCAUGUUUCCUGUGAACUGUGAGAAAAACCCUACGCUUUUUGUUACAUUCUCAAGAAAGGUUAUAUCUGUAAUAAGCAAGCUCAUAAGUUCCAAGUCAGAAUAUGGUAGGUACUUGUAAGGUCAUAAUGGUGUAAUAAUUUUUUGUUUUUACUUUUUAAUUAAGCAUUUAUUGAAGUUGAAAAAUAUGGUAUCUUGGCAGACUAUGCUCUUUUGGCAUUCAGGCUUUAUCACAUUCUUAAAUAUGGUAAGCUUGGACAAAAGUUCAAGAUCUAAGCUAGGUCAUGCUCGAGUGUACUCCACUAAACCUGGGUCAUGUUCAAGUGUACCACUUUUUCAUUAUACAACCACUUCACUACAUGUUUGCUGGGGUUAUGGGGCUCCUUAUGGUGGUGAGAGGAAUCUGAAUGUACGUGAUGCUCUUGUGAAUCGCUUCAUUAAAUAACACCUCAGCCUAUUGGACAGCUACCUUAUAUUGAAGAUUGCACUUGUCUGGAAAUUUCAUUAUGCAUCUAUCCAGAUUGCAGAGUAGUUUAUAGAUUAUAAUUUGUCCAAAAAGAUUUAAUCUAGUCAAUCUGGGGACAUCCUCAGUUCUUAGUC